rnacentral:rRNA from 1 species
AGCGAACGCUGGCGGCAGGCCUAACACAUGCAAGUCGAACGAAGUCUUCGGACUUAGUGGCGGACGGGUGAGUAACACGUGGGAACGUGCCUUUAGGUUCGGAAUAACUCAGGGAAACUUGUGCUAAUACCGAAUGUGCCCUUCGGGGGAAAGAUUUAUCGCCUUUAGAGCGGCCCGCGUCUGAUUAGCUAGUUGGUGAGGUAAAGGCUCACCAAGGCGACGAUCAGUAACUGGUCUGAGAGGAUGAUCAGCCACAUUGGGACUGAGACACGGCCCAAACUCCUACGGGAGGCAGCAGUGGGGAAUCUUGCGCAAUGGGCGAAAGCCUGACGCAGCCAUGCCGCGUGAAUGAUGAAGGUCUUAGGAUUGUAAAAUUCUUUCGCCGGGGACGAUAAUGACGGUACCCGGAGAAGAAGCCCCGGCUAACUUCGUGCCAGCCGCCGCGGUAA